GAGAGCUUGACCUGGUUCAACUGCCGCAGAGAGCUGAACUGUGGCAGGUGUUCCUCCUCAGGCCUAAUUUUGCUAACUCACGAUUUCCAGCCUUCCAGCCUUUAAAAUGCCUUCCAAAAGUAUCCCAUCAUAGAGAAGACAGCAUGGCUACCCAGGAGAUACGACCUCUUGGAGAACUUGGGAGACCCCAACUUUAAAGAGGCGCAGAGUUAUGGGGAGAAGAUCCAGCACUGUUUGGACCACAGGGAAAGCAGGCCUUCAGACGAGCGUCGGGAGUAUCUUGAA